rnacentral:piRNA from 1 species
UCCACUUUUGGCGAUACUCUUUGCAAGUUGC